CGUAGGUGAAACCUGCGGAAGGAUCAUUA
rnacentral:rRNA from 1 species